UACGUAGGUGGCAAGCGUUGUCCGGAUUUAUUGGGUUUAAAGGGUGCGUAGGCGGACGCUUAAGUCAGCGGUAAAAUUGCGGGGCUCAACCUCGUCGAGCCGUUGAAACUGGGUGCCUUGAGUGGGCGAGAAGUACGCGGAAUGCGUGGUGUAGCGGUGAAAUGCAUAGAUAUCACGCAGAACUCCGAUUGCGAAGGCAGCGUACCGGCGCCCUACUGACGCUGAAGCACGAAGGCGUGGGUAUCGAACAGG
rnacentral:rRNA from 1 species